rnacentral:rRNA from 1 species
CCUACGGGGUGCAGCAGUGGGGGAUAUUGCACAAUGGGGGGAACCCUGAUGCAGCGACGCCGCGUGGGUGAAGAAGCGCCUCGGCGCGUAAAGCCCUGUCAGCAGGGAAGAAAAUGACGGUACCUGCAGAAGAAGCCCCGGCUAACUACGUGCCAGCAGCCGCGGUAAUACGUAGGGGGCAAGCGUUAUCCGGAUUUACUGGGUGUAAGGGGGGCGCAGACGGCGAUGCAAGCCAGGAGUGAAAGCCCGGGGCCCAACCCCGGGACUGCUCUUGGAACUGCGGGGCUGGAGUGCAGGAGGGGCAGGCGGAAUUCCUGGUGUAGCGGUGAAAUGCGUAGAUAUCAGGAGGAACACCGGUGGCGAAGGCGGCCUGCUGGACUGCAACUGACGUUGAGGCCCGAAAGCGUGGGGAGCAAACAGGAUUAGAUACCCCAGUAGUC